ACUCCCACCAGCUUGGAGACAACAUGUGGUUCUUGACAACUCUGCUCCUUUGGGUUCCAGUUGAUGGGCAAGUGGAAAAACCUACAUCAGUAAUUUAAUCCUCAGGAGCCCCAGAUUCCCAACACCCAGAUGAGGAUUUAAUAACAAUGAACAGAGGUCUCUGCAGCAGGAGGACACUCUUAAAGGCUGGCUUUUACACCACAAAGGCAGUGAUCACUUUGCAGCCUCCAUGGGUCAGCGUGUUCCAAGAGGAAACCAUAACCUUGCACUGUGAGGUGCUCCAUCUGCCUGGGAGCAGCUCCACACAGUGGUUUCUCAAUGGCACAGCCACUCAGACCUCGACCCCCAGCUACAGAAUCACCUCUGCCAGUGUCAAUGACAGUGGUGAAUACAGGUGCCAGAGAGGUCUCUCAGGGCGAAGUGACCCCAUACAGCUGGAAAUCCACAGAGGCUGGCUACUACUGCAGGUCUCCAGCAGAGUCUUCAUGGAAGGAGAACCUCUGGCCUUGAGGUGUCAUGCGUGGAAGGAUAAGCUGGUGUACAAUGUGCUUUACUAUCGAAAUGGCAAAGCCUUUAAGUUUUUCCACUGGAAUUCUAACCUCACCAUUCUGAAAACCAACAUAAGUCACAAUGGCACCUACCAUUGCUCAGGCAUGGGAAAGCAUCGCUACACAUCAGCAGGAAUAUCACAAUACACUGUGAAAGGCCUCCAGUUACCAACUCCUGUCUGGUUUCAUGUCCUUUUCUAUCUGGCAGUGGGAAUAAUGUUUUUAGUGAACACUGUUCUCUGGGUGACAAUACGUAAAGAACUGAAAAGAAAGAAAAAGUGGAAUUUAGAAAUCUCUUUGGAUUCUGGUCAUGAGAAGAAGGUAAUUUCCAGCCUUCAAGAAGACAGACAUUUAGAAGAAGAGCUGAAAUGUCAGGAACAAAAAGAAGAACAGCUGCAGGAAGGGGUGCACCGGAAGGAGCCCCAGGGGGCCACGUAGCAGCGGCUCAGUUGGUGGCCAUCGAUCUGGACCGUCCCCUGCCCACUUGCUCCCCGUGAGCACUGCGUACAAACAUCCAAAAGUUCAACAACACCAGAACUGUGUGUCUCAUGGUAUAUAACUCUUAAAGCAAAUAAAUGAACUGACUUCAACUGG
ensembl:lncRNA FCGR1BP Fc gamma receptor Ib, pseudogene